rnacentral:lncRNA from 1 species
GGCGAUUCAACCAACAAUGAGAAUCAGAAGUCUGGCAGGAAAGCUUCUAAUCCUGCAAAACAAGAUCAUACUGAGAAUGGGCCCCAAAUCAGUCCUGCACUGCCAAGCUACAUGGCAGCAACUGAAUCUGCCAAGGCUAAGCUGAGACUGCAAGGCUCUCCUCGAUUUAGCCAGGACGGAGGUGAAAAAAUUAACCUCGCUCGUCGCCAGUCUCUGCCAAUUUCAGCCAAUAGUAAAAUCAACUCACAGUCACCAAGGACGCAGAGACUGG